rnacentral:rRNA from 1 species
AGAGUUUGAUCAUGGCUCAGAUUGAACGCUAGCGGGAUGCCUUACACAUGCAAGUCGAACGGCAGCACGGACUUCGGUCUGGUGGCGAGUGGCGAACGGGUGAGUAAUGUAUCGGAACGUGCCCAGUAGCGGGGGAUAACUACGCGAAAGCGUGGCUAAUACCGCAUACGCCCCACGGGGGAAAGCAGGGGAUCGCAAGACCUUGCACUAUUGGAGCGGCCGAUAUCGGAUUAGCUAGUUGGUGGGGUAACGGCUCACCAAGGCGACGAUCCGUAGCUGGUUUGAGAGGACGACCAGCCACACUGGGACUGAGACACGGCCCAGACUCCUACGGGAGGCAGCAGUGGGGAAUUUUGGACAAUGGGGGAAACCCUGAUCCAGCCAUCCCGCGUGUGCGAUGAAGGCCUUCGGGUUGUAAAGCACUUUUGGCAGGAAAGAAACGUCGCGGGCUAAUACCCCGCGGAACUGACGGUACCUGCAGAAUAAGCACCGGCUAACUACGUGCCAGCGGCCGCGGUAAUACGUAGGGUGCAAGCGUUAAUCGGAAUUACUGGGCGUAAAGCGUGCGCAGGCGGUUCGGAAAGAAAGAUGUGAAAUCCCAGAGCUUAACUUUGGAACUGCAUUUUUAACUACCGGGCUAGAGUGUGUCAGAGGGAGGUGGAAUUCCCGCGUGUAGCAGUGAAAUGCNUAGAUAUGCGGAGGAACNCCCGAUGGCGAAGGCAGCCUCCUGGGAUAACACUGACGCUCAUGCACGAAAGCGUGGGGGAGCAAACAGGAUUAGAUACCCUGGUAGUCCACGCCGUAAACGGAUGUCAACUAGCC